UUCUUGCUGAGUCUGCGGAGGAAAACUCUUUCCAUAAGUCCUGCAACCAAAUCACAAAUUAGAAAUAAAAUUCAAUCCAAAAUUUUCAGAACAAGGAACCUCAAUUCUCCAAUUUUUUUUUUCAAGUAUAUAACUUUGGUAAUUCAUGUAAACUAAAACUUGAAUUCUCUAAUAUUCAGAAUUUGAUAAUCAAGAAAACAGAAUGGAGAAUUCACACGUAGAUAUUCAAGAAAACAGAAGUGAGAAUGAACAUGUACAAUAGGCAAGCAUUUAAACGUUCCAAAACCAUAAGAACAGAAAAUAUGACACAUAAUCUUAUGUUUCUUCACUUUUUUCCCCAGAGCCAAACGGGGUAAAAUAAAAAGUUGAGCACCAGUUUACCUCAACUUUAGCUAGCUUCCCUUCAUCCAAAACUUUGAAGAGGGCAAAGCCCGCUGGCGUCUCAAACAACACAAGCAUCCUUCAAUGGCUCAAAACCG
rnacentral:misc_RNA from 1 species